UACGUAGGGGGCAAGCGUUGUCCGGAUUUAUUGGGCGUAAAGAGCGUGUAGGCGGCUUGGUAGGUCCGCUGUGAAAACUCGAGGCUCAACCUCGAGAUGUCGGCGGAAACCACUUGGCUAGAGUCCGGAAGAGGAGAGUGGAAUUCCUGGUGUAGCGGUGAAAUGCGUAGAUAUCUGGAGGAACACCGGUGGCGAAGGCGGCAUUCUGGACUGCAACUGACACUGAAAGACGAAAGCCAGGGGAGCAAACGGG
rnacentral:rRNA from 1 species